rnacentral:rRNA from 1 species
AGUGAACGCUGGCGGUAGGCCUAACACAUGCAAGUCGAACGGCAGCGCAGUAAGAGCUUGCUCUUACGGGUGGCGAGUGGCGGACGGGUGAGGAAUACAUCGGAAUCUACUUUUUCGUGGGGGAUAACGUAGGGAAACUUACGCUAAUACCGCAUACGACCUACGGGUGAAAGCAGGGGAUCUUCGGACCUUGCGCGAUUGAAUGAGCCGAUGUCGGAUUAGCUAGUUGGCGGGGUAAAGGCCCACCAAGGCGACGAUCCGUAGCUGGUCUGAGAGGAUGAUCAGCCACACUGGAACUGAGACACGGUCCAGACUCCUACGGGAGGCAGCAGUGGGGAAUAUUGGACAAUGGGCACAAGCCUGAUCCAGCCAUACCGCGUGGGUGAAGAAGGCCUUCGGGUUGUAAAGCCCUUUUGUUGGGAAAGAAAAGCAGCAGGUUAAUACCCCGCUGUUCUGACGGUACCCAAAGAAUAAGCACCGGCUAACUUCGUG